rnacentral:lncRNA from 1 species
CACCUACUGUCUUGGUAAAGAACUCGAGGUCACUCAGCUGGCAACAAAAGAGCCUAUUACAGCCUGGUGAGCAGAAUGCCUUCUCUGUGCUGGGUUGCUGGCCUGCCCUCUGAGAUGGGAAUGGCCGAUGGAUUGCAUUUCAAGCUGCAGGAAGUGCAGAACCAGGUGCAAACGCUUUCUCCUACCAAGUGCAGCUUCUCGCCUCGGAAUGAGCUGUAGGCCAAACCUCCACUGUCCAGGAUGAACUGUGCCUGUAGCAAGCUGAACAGUGACUGACCCUCUGCUAAAAAUUGAAGGCGCGUCCCAGUCUGGGGU